rnacentral:rRNA from 1 species
UACGUAGGGGGCAAGCGUUGUCCGGAAUCAUUGGGCGUAAAGCGCGUGUAGGCGGCUCGGUAAGUCCGCUCUGAAAGUCCGGGGCUCAACCCCGGGAGGCGGGUGGAUACUGUCGAGCUAGAGUCCGGAAGAGGCGAGUGGAAUUCCUGGUGUAGCGGUGGAAUGCGCAGAUAUCAGGAGGAACACCAAUAGCGAAGGCAGCUCGCUGGGACGGUACUGACGCUAAGGCGCGAAAGCGUGGGGAGCGAACAGG